rnacentral:rRNA from 1 species
AAUGAACGCUGGCGGCGUGCUUAACACAUGCAAGUCGUGCGCGAAGGUGGCUUCGGCCACCGGAGAGCGGCGAACGGGUGAGUAACACGUGGGUGAUCCGCCUGGAAGCGGGGGAUAACCUGGGGAAACUCGGGCUAAUACCGCAUACGUUCCUCGUGAUGCGUCAUGGGGGAGAAAACCGGCCUCUACUUGUAAGCUGG